GACGAACGCUGGCGGCGUGCUUAACACAUGCAAGUCGAACGGAGAUGCCCCAGCUUGCUGGGGUGCACCAGUGGCGAACGGGUGAGUAACACGUGAGUAACCUGCCCCAGACUCUGGGAUAACCUCUGGAAACGGCGGCUAAUACCGGAUACGAGACUCUCCUGCAUGGGCGGGGUUUGGAAAUUUCUUCGGUUGGGGAUGGGCUCGCGGCCUAUCAGCUUGUUGGUGGGGUAAUGGCUUACCAAGGCUUUGACGGGUAGCCGGCCUGAGAGGGCGACCGGCCACACUGGGACUGAGACACGGCCCAGACUCCUACGGGAGGCAGCAGUGGGGAAUAUUGCACAAUGGGCGGAAGCCUGAUGCAGCGACGCCGCGUGAGGGAUGACGGCCUUCGGGUUGUAAACCGCUUUCGGCAGGGAAGAAGCGAGAGUGACGGUACCUGCUAAAGAAGCACCGGCUAACUACGUG
rnacentral:rRNA from 1 species